UUUACAGCCCUGGAGACUGAGGGCCCCUAUUUAUUCACAGAGCUAGGGGUGCAUGAGGAGCAACAGUGCAAGCUUCCCCCACUCUGCCCUGCUAAAGGGCCUUAGCCCUGCCCCACAGGGACCACCUCUAAGGGUGAGAGGGUUGUUCAGUCUCCAUGGCCCAUUCAUGUCCUACUGAG
rnacentral:sRNA from 1 species